UACAGAGGUCCCGAGCGUUGUUCGGAUUUAUUGGGCGUAAAGAGCUCGUAGGCGGUCUGUCGCGUCUGCUGUGAAAACUCGGGGCUUAACCCCGGGCCUGCAGUGGGUACGGGCAGACUAGAGUGCGGUAGGGGAGACUGGAAUUCCUGGUGUAGCGGUGAAAUGCGCAGAUAUCAGGAGGAACACCGGUGGCGAAAGCGGCUCCUCUGGAACGGUACUGACGCUGAGACGCGAAAGCGUGGGGAGCGAACAGG
rnacentral:rRNA from 1 species